rnacentral:lncRNA from 1 species
AUCUUGAUAGACAUUUUUUUACACGCAAGCUAAUAGUCUGGUUUACAUUUAUUUUCAGAAUAUUUAGUGAAUACAGUAUGACUCAAUAGUAUGGUUAUGUUUGUAUUCAUUAAAUUAUAUUGUGUUUCUGACUGCUGUCAUAAAGGUGAAUCACAGCCUUUUUUUUUCACAUGCCAGUGCAUACAAAAGCCUAAAAACAUAUUUACACUAUCAAAAUUUGCUAUAAUAAUAAAUUUAAAAACAGGCAAACACCGGAAACCAAACUAAAAUGAUCCCUAUAACCGAUCAUUCGGAGAAAGUGAACAAAAAUAAAAAUGAAACCUUAUUUCAAACUAAUCAAUCUAUCAUAAAGCUAAUCUUAGCUCUUAAAUGGACGCUACGAUUUCUAACAAACUCCCAUCCAAAUGUCCAGCUCGCUGUUAAUCCGUUAUUCUUCCAAAACAGGUACAGCGGCUGGGCGGAUCGUAAAACCUAGAGGAGUGACCCUAUAAUAUUGAACCUUGGGAAAAAACCUCAAAAAUUGAAAUCUUACUCUGGCAGAAUACUAUGUCAAAAGAUGGGGUAGGUCAUAGCAAAGAAUAACUCACAAAAGUUGUAGCAAGUCUAAAACACGUAAAAGCUGAUCACUCGUAAAGAGAGAAUAAAAUUAAGUGUAUGAUUUGUAAUUCAGUAAAAGAAGCAAUAAAGUUAAGAACACGGGUACUUAACAAAUAGAAGCAUAGCAACAAAAGAACUGAUCGAACAUAUCGUUAACGUCGAUAAUAUCGGCUUCGGAGAGGAUUUUAUAUUUUUUGCAUCACAUCAGUGAUUUUUGGUAUAAACUAUUGGUUAAAUAUACACAAACACAUACAUUUUUAAAAGAUAUGUAUACAGCAGGUCAAACUUUCAGAGUGACACGCUGCUGAAAUUAAUGGCAAUAGUCUACUAGGAUCAUUGUCAUUAAUUAUCAAAAUAGAAAGGUAAAAUCAAGUAAAAAUUUAUACAAUCAUCGCAUAUAAUAAAGGAAUAAGCGUGUGAAGUGCAUGUUUCUGUACGUACCGGACCGGAAAUGCUGCUAUUACUAUUUUCUUCUCGCUUCGAAUUUUUAAUCGCGUCUUUUAGAACAGUGGUUCCCAACAGAU